GCACAAGCGUGGAGCAUGUGGUUUAAUUCGAAGCAACGCGAAAACCUUACCUGCCCUUGACAUGUCAGGAAUCUUUCAGAGAUGAGAGAGUGCCUUCGGGAACCUGAACACAGGUGCUGCAUGGCUGUCGUCAGCUCGUGUCGUGAGAUGUUGGGUUAAGUCCCGUAACGAGCGCAACCCUUGUCCUUAGUUGCCAGCGGUUCGGCCGGGAACUCUAAGGAGACUGCCGGUGAUAACCGGAGAAGUGGGGACGACGUCAAGUCAUCAUGGCCCUUAUGGGCAGGGCUACACACGUGCUACAAUGGCCAGUACAGAAGGUUGCCAACCCGCGAGGGGGAGCUAAUCCUGAAAAGCUGGUCGUAGUCCGGAUCGCAGUCUGCAACUCGACUGCGUGAAGUCGGAAUCGCUAGUAAUCGCGAAUCAGCAUGUCGCGGUGAAUACGUUCCCGGGCCUU
rnacentral:rRNA from 1 species